AGCGAACGCUGGCGGCAGGCCUAACACAUGCAAGUCGAACGAAGUCUUCGGACUUAGUGGCGGACGGGUGAGUAACACGUGGGAACGUGCCUUUAGGUUCGGAAUAACUCAGGGAAACUUGUGCUAAUACCGAAUGUGCCCUUCGGGGGAAAGAUCUAUCGCCUUUAGAGCGGCCCGCGUCUGAUUAGCUAGUUGGUGAGGUAAAGGCUCACCAAGGCGACGAUCAGUAGCUGGUCUGAGAGGAUGAUCAGCCACAUUGGGACUGAGACACGGCCCAAACUCCUACGGGAGGCAGCAGUGGGGAAUCUUGCGCAAUGGGCGAAAGCCUGACGCAGCCAUGCCGCGUGAAUGAUGAAGGUCUUAGGAUUGUAAAAUUCUUUCACCGGGGACGAUAAUGACGGUACCCGGAGAAGAAGCCCCGGCUAACUUCGUGCCAGCCGCCGCCGUAAUAC
rnacentral:rRNA from 1 species